UACAGAGGUCUCAAGCGUUGUUCGGAUUCAUUGGGCGUAAAGGGUGCGUAGGCGGCGCGGUAAGUCGGGUGUGAAAUCUUGGAGCUUAACUCCGAAACUGCAUUCGAUACUGCCGUGCUUGAGGACUGGAGAGGAGACUGGAAUUUACGGUGUAGCGGUGAAAUGCGUAGAUAUCGUAAGGAAGACCAGUGGCGAAAGCGGCGCGCUGGAUCCCUACUGACGCUGAGGCACGAAGGCUAGGGUAGCAAACAGG
rnacentral:rRNA from 1 species